GAUGAACGCUGGCGGCGUGCCUAACACAUGCAAGUUGAACGAAGCACUUACGACGGAAUCCUCCGGGAGGAAGAUGUAAGCGACUUAGUGGCGGACGGGUGAGUAACGCGUGGGUAACCUGCCCUGUACAGGGGGACAACAGCCGGAAACAGCUGCUAAUACCCCAUAAGCGCACGGUAUCGCAUGAUACAGUGUGAAAAGCCGAGACGGUACAGGAUGGACCCGCGUCUGAUUAGAUAGUUGGUGGGGUAACGGCCUACCAAGUCAGCGAUCAGUAGCCGGCCUGAGAGGGUGAACGGCCACAUUGGAACUGAGACACGGUCCAAACUCCUACGGGAGGCAGCAGUGGGGAAUAUUGCACAAUGGGGGAAACCCUGAUGCAGCGACGCCGCGUGAAGGAAGAAGUAUUUCGGUAUGUAAACUUCUAUCAGCAGGGAAGAAAAUGACGGUACCUGACUAAGAA
rnacentral:rRNA from 1 species